UAGCAGCACGUAAAUAUUGGUGUGUUAUAGUCAAGGCCAACCCCAAUAUUAUGUGUGCUGCUUCA
rnacentral:pre_miRNA from 1 species